rnacentral:rRNA from 1 species
AAUACCUACGGGGCGCAGCAGUGGGGAAUAUUGGGCAAUGGGCGCAAGCCUGACCCAGCAACGCUGCGUGAAGGAAGAAGGCUUUCGGGUUGUAAACUUCUUUUCUCAGGGACGAAGCAAGUGACGGUACCUGAGGAAUAAGCCACGGCUAACUACGUGCCAGCAGCCGCGGUAAUACGUAGGUGGCAAGCGUUAUCCGGAUUUAUUGGGCGUAAAGGGCGUGUAGGCGGG